AAGCAGGGCCAGGAAGCAGAUUGCGUCCAGCUCCUCCACGCAUCGUCUACCCACGGCCAGACGGCGAGAAUGACCAAGGGGUGCGCGGUGUUCUUGGCGGGCAAUGACGGGGAGGCGCCCCAGAGGUUCGCGGUGCCGGUGACUCUGCUCGGGCACCCGGCGAUCGUCGAGCUGCUCGCCGAGGCGUGGGAGAAGUACGGGUACGCGCACGAGGGCGCCAUCGUCGUCCCCUGCAGCGUGGAGCGGUUCCAGAGGGCGGUCGACGCGGCGAGGGCCCAAGAACGGCACCAUCACCACUUCCGGCUUCCACACCUCGCCGGCUGCUUUAGGUCCCCGCAUGUUGUUGCGUAA
rnacentral:rRNA from 1 species